rnacentral:lncRNA from 1 species
GGCCGGGCCGGGCCGGGCCGGAGCGGGAGGGGCGGAGAGGGGAGAGCUGGGCGCGCACGGGGCCGCACCUCAGUGAUAAACCGUGUGUGCGUUGCCGAGGGAGGUGUCUGAAGCGCUAUGGGAAGCACAAGCAGGACAGAAAUUCCAGGAGGGGAGGCGGUGUGAACGCAGUUUUGAAGACAUUGAUCCCUUCCUAGGAUGGAAGAGGAAGGAAAGUAGGCACGUGCUUUGGGUACCAAUCAAAGAAAAACGACACUGGACAAAGUUUAAGUAUCUUUAAAUUUACUUAGCUGGGAAGAUGAAAUUGACCCAAAUACUCUUGCCGCUUAAAUCAAGAUGGUAUCUGGACACAGUAGAGGUUUGUUUAUUGAUUCUUAGAUGAAACGAGGGCUGUUAGACAUUCUGGAGGCCAACCUGACAAGACUGGACCCAGAAAAAGGACAGUGCUUCAAAGUCUGAAGGUGACAUUGAAGGAGCUCGGCAGCAGAUUCAAAAAAUCCCAACCGAUUCAAUAGGCAUUAUACGCGCUCUGUGUGUACUUUCUCCUGAGCUUGGCAACCACACAAGUGCUGGCAUUGCUACUUACUCUAAGAUUGCAGUCUGUAUCAGAUUGUGUGCUGAGGAAAAGAAUAAGCUUUUACCAUCAUGGAUGGCAUCAGUAUUCACAACUCCUGCAGUACCUAAAAAAUGAAGACCAGAUAAUGCAAAGUUUCCAAUGAAAUCAACAUGCAUUUAAGUCAGUUAAAUGACUUCAAUCUACAGAGAGGAAAAAUAAUUACAAAUAUCACUUCUCUAACACACAAGAUCACAGCACUGUAAUUGGAAAUGUUACUGGCAUGGUGCCCUUUCCCUGUGCUGACGGUAUUUCCAAGCGUGCUGCCUUAUUGUUUCUGUGCUAGAUUGAUAUUAAAGCAACUACAAUGAAAGGGAAUGACUCGAAAAUUUUCCAGUACUAGGCUUGAUGCCCAUGGCAUUUUGAAACUUUCUGCCCACCUUCUUCCACUCAGCAUAACCAAAGGCAAAAUAGAUGCAACCAAGACAAGUGUUCAUUAGUAGGAGGUUCUGUAUUUUCCUACCUUCUCCCAGAUCAAGGUGAAAAACGUGGGCUUUAUGACGUAUGCAGUGUUAGCUCUACUGUAGCAAUCAGUAAGUUGUACUAUAGGAGAAUGACACAUUUUUAUCAGCUAGCUCACUGAAAGGAAGGACUGGUUGCAAGUGAUAUUUGUACAGGGCAAUCUCUUGAGAGGUAGAUGGCUGAGAGGCAAGGUUGUCAGCAGCUGGACCCUCAAAGGUAGUUUUAUAUUAAGAAAACAUCGGAGAAUCCUGCUAGGGAACAAUGCCACCAGUGUGUGGGCAUAAAUAGAUGGAUUUUACUUACGUAAGCCCUUAAAAAUCCCUGUGUGAUUAAUAGAAGCUUAAUAAAGGGGACAGCUGCAUUUGUAAGGAAUCUGUACCCAUUAGGUGAACUCAUACUUCUUGUUCUUCCUAAGCUAAGAUAGCUCUUUCUCUCUUGAAUUGUUACCAGGCUUUUUUGCGUACUGAUCCCAGAGAGCAAGUGAUCUUUUAAAAAUCAUGUUUUACCCAGAACUACAGGAACAAAACAAUUUUUCUGAACUAGUUACUCGUCUGUAGUUGAGCCUAGUUGGGAAUGGUUACUGGAACUAACAGUGGACAGUUUAUUUCUUCCAUGGAGAACAAAAGAGCCUUUUGGAAACACUCAUUUUCAGUUUCCUUUGCUGCACCAAGCCUAGUAAGAGUAUAUUUUCGAUGCUAAAAUGUUAACGUGUUGGGCUGAUGAACAUCCCUUGGACAGUAGGAUUACACAACAAGAUCAGUAGCCCCACAAUCCCGUACUUUCCAGUUAGUUUUGAGAUAAACAUAUAGGUAUGUUCUGCCUUUUCUUUUGAUAACCUUUCCUUCCUUUUUGUAAAUAGAGGUUUUAAACUCAGAAGAGAAUAUUUUCUGCCCCUGGUACAUCUGUAUCAACUUCAUCCCCCUCAGCAAGCUGCCAACUCUGCAACUAUACACAGGCUUCCAUUAGGUGCAUACCAUUUUAUCCAGGACAGAAAGAUGGACUUAUUUUAUAAAACAGGAUGAAGUGGAGAGAGUAGAUUCAGUAGGACAACUAGUUAAUAUAAAUUACUAAGAAAUACAAUGCUAAAAAUAUCCUGUCUCCAUCAGUUUAAAUUCACACCUACUCCUAUCUGAGCAGGAGAGAGAAAACAGAAAUCUCCUUCAGCUUUCAAAACUUCAUCCAUCUCCUGAGAAUCAAAUCUUCAGCUGGCAGAUGUCAGCAGGCAGCACCAGAACCGUACUAUAUUCCUGAAGGAUCCACUCUUCAACACCAGACUGCCACAACUGGAACGUCAGAGUUACAGAUAACUCUCAGCAUUCCUUGGGGACAGUUAAAUUCCCUGGAGGCCUUGUAUGUUGCUGUCAGCCUGACUGGGUAGUAAAGCAGACCAUGACUUCAGCAGGUGAACAGAGGGUGCACAUAAUGCUUUAGUCUCUUCCUGUUCCUAUGCCUGUUACCAGCUUUGCCUUUUAUAUUCUCACAAACCAAUUGCUUUCCUGAAAUGGACAUUAGGUCCUGAUGAACCACAUCAGCAAUACACUGGCUGUUUAAUUCCUGAGGAAAGGAGAGCAUUAAGCAAACCAAACACAAAAGAUGGUACUGAGUGGACUUGGAGUGGACAGUGAACAAAGGGAAAGGAACCUAAGACAGAUGCAUUGUGUAGUUUAUACUGUUUAGGUAAAACUAACAAUAGUACACCAGGCUGGAAUGUAAAUGGUGGAAAUGUGGGUACAAAUUUCUUUUAGGCUGUUUAAGUUAAGGCUGUUACUGUGAAAAAUGAUAUAGCUUCUAAUUAGAAUGCAUGUUGAAAACUCUGCAUCAUAAAAAUGGAAAAUAGAAUCUGAACAUGCUGCGUAUCAUGAAUCCGACUGAACAGGACUCGGGGAGGAAAUUACAAGUGUGUUUUAGCAGUCACUGCAGAUUAUCUCAUGGGUUCUUUAUAUAUACAUGUUUUUGUGGUGUCAAGCUGCAGGAGCUUAGGAGUUCUGUAGAGCUUGUUGCAAGUGCUGUAGCUCAGUAGAUGUCUGAGACUUUUCAACAAGACUGAAGAUCCCAUCCCCGGCCAUGGUGAGUUACUGUAGACCAUACUAUAUGACCAUACCAUAGACCAGCACCAUAUGGGUGCUGAGACCACAACUCUGAAAAAGUUGUGCAGACAUGCUCAACGCUGCAUGCUGCGAGUUGGCCCAGAAAAAAACAAGAAGGCUUUUAUAGGAAUCUGGAGACUUUUGCAAAAGACUAGCCCCAGAUGUGGACAAAGUAGGACGCAGUCUAGAACAGCGGAGUGACUGUGGUCCAACAGACUACUUUGUCUGUAGUAAACCAGAUUGGCUCCUACUACUGCUGUUGUCACCAUGGUACAGACAGGAUGUCUGGUGUGAUGUAUGUUCACUGCUGGGAUUGAGGGUCCUCUCCAGCAGUGCUGUAUCUGGCAAUAUGCUAUCUGCCUUCAGAAGUCCUGGAGUUGACCACUACUUCACUGUAUGGUCUCCAGCCUGUCUCCUCAUUCCUUUCCCUUGGCAACAGCAUCCCCAUCCUGAGUCCCUCAGCUUUGAGGCAGAAACAUUGCAUUUAGCAUGUGUUGAGAUUGUUGAGCUGGCUAUGCUUUGUAGGAGUGAGUCUUGUUUAUACCAGAAAUUCACACUGAUUAUAUGCAACUGUCAUGUUCAGUUCCUUGGUAAGUUUUGUCAAACAAACAAACAAAGAUACCUUGUAAAGAGAAUUGGAAUGGGGUAAGGCAACCAAAUCCAGGACAAUGCAGUAGCAAAAUAUGGGUGGAAAUCAGAUGUGCAUGCACCAUUUAUCAUAAUUGGAGAUUAUUUGAUGGUAUCACUACACUUGUACACUUUCAUGCCUUUAAAAAAAAAUCUAAGAAAAAUUGUGCUAAGUUAUUUUACCAACAAAUAGUACCUAAAGGUAUUACUCUUAGAUAGUUAUGAACAAGAGAGAAGUGAUGUCGUACAGUGCUAUUCAUAUACCACACAACUAAACUCACCAGCUUUCUAAGAGGAACAAUCAAAACAACAUUCUCUCCCCUACCCAGAGCAGACAGAUCCAUAAAUUCUAUAAACCUCACAUUUCCACAAAAUACCGGUCUCAUUGUGUUCGAAAUCGUUAGACUUGGUGAAUGAGUGAUGCAGAACCUCCUUACAGAAUUGCAGUAUUACACUAAAAAUGCAGUUGAGGUACAUCUCAUCAGGCUCUGAAUCUCUCCACUGAUUUUUGGCAGGAAUCUGCUCCAUUGCCUUAUACUUACUAGAUCCUUUGUUCGAAAGGAGAACUAAACAGUCGAAAUUGAUUAUCACAUAAUUGUUUCAAAGGAAACCAAAAGAUGCAGUAGUUAAGAAGAAGUAAUUAGAUAGAGUCUACUACUUUUUGAAAACAUUGCUCUGGGGAAUAAGUUCUGAAGUAGUAAUUCAUGUGAAAUACAUAGCUAGUGUUCUGUUCAGAGGGGGAGAAAAGAAAAGCAACCUGAGUUCUGCACUUCUAAUAGCUAUAAGAGUCUCUUCUAAAUUUGUGAUCUUUUCAUAUGUUUCUGGAUUCCCCUGUUCUGUUAAAGCAGAAAUUCACAGAUGCAAGUGGAAAUAUCUUGACAGUAGGAGGGAGUAAAAGGUAACCAGCAUGAAGAACAGCUGUGAAACACAGGCAAGACAUUGGUUUCACUGUUUUUUUUUUUUUUCAUUUUUCCCUUAAAUGAUUUGUGUUGGUGAGGUUUGCAUUCUGAAAGCUUUUGCUCCCUGUUAAUGCAGAUUCUCAUCUGGGAUUAUAUACAUUUAAAUCCUCGUACUGUUGUAAGCAAUGAACAUUAGCAACCUUUAUUUACACUGCUGUUCUAUAAAAAGCAGAGGGAAUGCCCAAAAGAGGAUAUUUUCCUUUGGCACAAGGACACAACCUGAUUAGAACAUUAUAUAAUAUUAAUACUCAUUUGGCAUAUUUUUUGAGGCAGAUCUAGAAAUUCAACACCUGUGAUGGUGGUGGCAACUGCAUGCUGGAAAAAAUGAAAUCGUCUGUCUGAGAACUUUUUAAUGAGUUGUUCAGAACUAAUUGGUAAAUGUAGCUGAGAAGGAGCACAUGGGAGGGAAAGAAGAGUGGCUGCCAACACUGCAAGAGUCCCUGUUCCUUCCUUUGCAGUCAUGACAGUAAGGGAAUGUUGCGGACAUAAGUAGAGAUAGGAUGGAGGAGGACCAGGAAUACUGACAGAUAACCCCAACCUCAGCCAGAGGCCAAGUACCCAAGCUUCAUGCAAGCGCUCAGAAAAGGAAUUGGGCACUGAAGAAGCAGCCAACUCAAAACAAUUCUGUGAUGGAGCUUAUGCCAGGAACCAAGGCCAGCCUCCAUGUUGGCAGGGCAGUGAAUCCACUGACCCAAGUGCAGUGCCCUGUAACUUGGCAACAUGAGCAAAGACAGAUUCAGUGACAAUCCUAGAUAAGGCACAGUGAAGAACCAGCUUGACAGUCCAGCCAGGCAGUCUAGUCAGGAGCAGAGAGCGCUGCAGCUUGAGGCUGCAAUACAAACCUGUUUGAGCCAAAGUCUGAAGCAAGCACAGAUACAACAUUCGCAUAAUUCAGAGCAAAAGUAGGUUCCCAGACCUGAGCUUGAAUAGCUCUGGAACAUGGGAGAGAGUGGGCAGGGUCCCAGAUGAGGCAGGUUUGGGCAAUUAAGACCUGUUAACGUACCCAGGACUCUAAGGAGAAAAAAGAAAAUGGUUCUUAGUUUCUGUUGUGUUAUAUGUCUUUCUGCUUGCUGAGAAGCAGUAAUAUGAAGUAUGUGUUUUUGGUUCAUCAGAACAAUAACUGCUGCCUCAGCAGCAGUCGUUCCAAAGAGAACAGAGAGAACUCUGUAGAUUAAAAAAGAAAGAAAGAAAAAAGAAGGAAAAAAAAAAAGAAAAACACCACCACUACCAAGUCAAUAGGCAUUACAAAAUUAAGAGCAGAGGAAUGAAUUAGACUUACAGAGAAUGAAUGAGGCUUACAGAUGGGGUAAAUUCCCCAUCUAUGAGUGGUGAAUUCCCAGGUAAAGAAGGUUUGCACAGGAAAUGUUAAUAGUACAUGAGGGGCAAAAAGUGGGGGAGAGGAGUGUGGCAAGGAGAAAAGUUUGCAGCAUGGUGAAGAAGAAGUCUGAGGUGGAAAAUGGAGCAAGAGACCCAUGCAAAAACAAAACAUAACACACGCACACCUCCCCCUCCCCCCCAAAACAAACAAACAAACAAAAACACAAAGGAUGGAGGAAAAAGACACUUUGCUGUUUGGCUGAAGGAAGUCAUUAAACUGAAAUCUGGGAGAAGAUCGUAGAGGUGAAGGAGGGAAGACUGAAACUAUCUUCUGAAUGACAGCCCAUAGACUAUCUAGUGUUCUGAAUGAGUCAACAAAUCUCUUUCCAUUUGUGGAACCCUCAAAAUACCUCUAGUUACAUUUGUAACCUCUCCUGUGGAAAUGCAUUUCACUUUCUGUACCACUCAAGAGCCUCACAACUAGAAACGAUGAUUAUUGAGACCAACUGUCCCAUCAGUAACCAACUUGAAUAGAAUGACCAAUGAAUGUGACAACAGGCAGUGGAACGUUAAUGAGUUAAAUAAUGAUAAUCCUAUAGAUGAUAAGUGGGAAUGACAAAACAACCAUGUUGGCUCUUGCUCACUCUAAGCUUGUGCAUCAAAGAAGUAUAGUCAGUUUCAUAGCAAAGCAAAAGCUGAGAUAAAAGGGCUGAGGCUGUCUGUGAUCUGAUCUUUACCAUAAAAAGGGGAGGAUGUUUUAUGAACUAUCACUCUGAGUACAAAUAAAUGUAGAAUUUAAGAAAGAACUGAUGUAUUUGAUUUAUAAAUAAAGUGUAGAGAACAAUCCCUGAUGUGUAAGAAUUCUUUACAGCCUGCAAGGACUCCUGUCCACUUUUACAACCCAAUACAGAUCAUGUUGCAAAGUAAAUUAUUACAUGUUACCUUCUGUAGCAGAUGCAUUAACAUCCAAACAGAUUGUAAAGAGAUUAUAAAAUGGUUAGUACACUUGUUGCAUAGCAGAG